GACGAACGCUGGCGGCGUGCUUAACACAUGCAAGUCGAACGGAAAGGCCCUGCUUGCAGGGUGCUCGAGUGGCGAACGGGUGAGUAACACGUGGGUGAUCUGCCCCUUACUUUGGGAUAAGCCUGGGAAACUGGGUCUAAUACUGGAUAGGACCAUGCUGUAGGUGGUGUGGUGGAAAGAUUAGUUUCGGUAAGGGAUGAGCUCGCGGCCUAUCAGCUUGUUGGUGGGGUAAUGGCCUACCAAGGCGUCGACGGGUAGCCGGCCUGAGAGGGUGGACGGCCACAUUGGGACUGAGAUACGGCCCAGACUCCUACGGGAGGCAGCAGUGGGGAAGAGUGGACAAUGGGCGCAAGCCUGAUGCAGCGACGCCGCGUGGGGGAUGACGGCCUUCGGGUUGUAAACUCCUUUCAGCCAUGACGAAGCCCUUGUGGUGACGGUAGUGGUAGAAGAAGCACCGGCUAACUACGUG
rnacentral:rRNA from 1 species